GUGGGGAGUGGGGGGGAGGGCGGACUGGGAACAACCCAGCUGGGGUACCCACGGCACCAGCCCCCCUUUACGCAGGAGCACGUCCGGCUCGCGUCGUGUCACCCUCCUGAGCUGCUCUAGGCGACAUCCAGGCUGAGCAACGCCCACCGCGGCUGCACGUGGAGGGACGCGCUCCCACCCCCACCCCCACCCCGAUUCUGGGACCUGGGUGAUAGAACCCGUGCUCCUCCGCGGGCGACAUCUUUAGCUUCUCGAUAUGCACUUCCUGUCCCCGAGCGGGCUUCCUUCCCUGGGGACCGUGCUGACUGAGCCAAAGUGGUGGCCUGCGGGGUGUCCAUGAGCAAUUGGUUCUGGGCUGCCCCUACUGACUGGCACAUGUGCCUUGGGUGCGGAACUAAGGUUCAGGAGUAAGAAGAUGUGGCAGGGCCACCUGCUCUGAGCUGGCCCAGGACACAGACCUCGGGCAAGCACAUGGGACCAGUGCCUGAGGCUAGGCUUUGGGUAUUCUGCACAGAGACUGAUACCACAGUGACAGAGUUUGACCACCAACCAGAUCUACUUCCUGACAUCCUGCAGAGGCCAGACACCCUCGAGGGAGACGCCAGAGCCACCGCAACCCAGCCAGCCUUUGUUUCUUUAAGAAUGGCCAACUUGUGCAGCUGCCACGGGUGGGCAGGGGUGGGUCCGGUGGUACUGGAGCCUGCUGGUCGUGACCCCAUGCCCAGUCAGUGGAACAGGAUCCCAGGAGCAGUGGGAGGAGGCUGAGGACUGGAGGUGGUAGCUGAGGUCAGAGUCUCUGCUCAAAUGAGAUGCUGCUUAUUAAGUGAUGGAGUGAGUGUCUCCCUGACCAUCAGCUCUUCCUCAGUAAAGUUGU